AGUGCCACAGGCAUGCCAACCUUCGGUUAGGGCCAUGUUGAGUGUGGCCGAAAGGUGGGAGCGAAAUAAAACAAGGAGCAGAACCGCGAAGAAGCCAUGUUUGGUGCGUCGAAGUUUAAACUCGUAGGACUUGGGAGGAGCCAAGGUAUAUCCGCAGAAGAGACCACCCCUGCCCUUUCGCUUUGACGCUCAUUGGGCCUUUUGGCUGCGCAUUUCACCCCGGGCUGAGAAAACAAGCUGGGGAUUCGACAAGAAUGAACUCAAAGUCUGGAAACGGCAGCUUCUGAGAGUUUACAAUGUUUCACCAACUGUCGUCCAAAUAAGUCGUCACCCCUGUCAGAGUAGUUGCAGCUCUGCCGUUACCCACUGCUGUCACUGUGGCCGUUUUAUUCGCGAGGGUUACAGUUCUGUUUAGCAUGCAUCUAAUGACUUAAGACUCCACGCAAGUAAAACGGAGUUUCCUCCCAUUAAGUAUUGGCUUUGCUUUAACAGUGCUUUGAGAGGCUCUCUGUGGCCAACAUAUCUUCUCAUAUCUUUGUCCUCGUUUCCCAAUCUCCGCGUGGUGAAAUCAUCUAUCAAGACUUGGCUUAAAGGACCUCUCUUCUGCAAAUAAUGCCAUCUUCCGCUAGGUGCUCACUGCACACAGACUCGCCGCCCACCACUUCUGUCCACCUUCUGAACUCCGAUAGUUAUUUACCCAGAGACUGUUUCUCAUCUUUAAGUGUCGUGAAGACUUUAAGAUCUGUUUUAUCUCUCUAUACCCCAAAAUGGCCUAGCACAGUAACUAGGACAUUGUAGGUGCUCAAUAAAUGUUUGUCGAAUAUCAAUGACAGCAGGAGGCAGUAAAUGGUCCCUCUUUGUAGGGCCUACAGCUGUGCCUGAGUAGGAUGUACAGAAGUCCUGCAUACGUGUGAAGUGUCUCCAGGAAGCUGCACUGGAGGGGACAGGAAAUGUGGGUAAUCGUAUGGUGCAAGUGGUAGCAAAAAAGACAACAUAAGGAAAAUGUUAUUUAGGUUUUGCCCAGUCUUGCUGUUUAAAGCCCUGUGUUAGAUGCUUUUCAUGCGCUAUUUUACUGAAUGUAAACAACCACCUUAUUAAAUAUACUCACUUUUUUAAAACGAAGAAACACGUACUGGCCGGUCACAGUGGCUCACGCCUGUAAUCUCAGCACUUUGCGGGGCCGAGGCGGGUGGAUCACGAGGUCAGGAGUACAAGACCAGCCUGGCCAAGAUGGUGAAACCCCGUCUCUACUAAAAAUACAAAAAUUAGCCGGGCGUGGUGGCGGGUGCCUGUAAUCCCAGCUACUCGGGAGGCGGAGGCAGGAGUAUCGCUUGAACCUGCGAGGCGGAGGUUGCAGUGAGCCGGGAUCGCACCACUGCACUCCAGCCUGGGCAACAGAGUGAGACUCCAUCUCAAAAAAAUAAAAAAAAAGAAAGAAAGAAAGAAAAAGAAACAAGUACUGAAAAAGCUAAGUAAUUUGCCCAAUUUUAUACCAUCAAUAAAAGGGAGCUGUAAGCUUUGGGAUCUGCUUUGCCCCAAAGCCUGUUUAUACUUUUUCAGCCCCAUGCUAUCCCCUUGACAACAGAGAAGACACCAAAGUUCUGUCACUGUGCUCAGAGCAGGGUUACCCUGGUAUCAGCCUAUGCACAAUUUCUACUUCUUAUACCUUGUGUUGGUCUGUCUUCUCCUCGCCUCCUAAAUUCCCCAAGCACAUCAAUGUCUUUCUUUUCUAAUAUCCCGUUACUCUUGUGUUUACCCUACAGAUUGGCCCUGAAUCUAUCAAGUUUUGUACUAGUUGCAUAUAGUUUCAUGAGAGUAAUUAAUCUCUGGAACAAGAUUGGAGGUUUACUGUGGAAAGGUUUGUGGCCCUUCCCAGACGUCUCCGCAGUGUUAGGCCGGUAAUAGGUAUUCAAUAUGGCUCCCUUGUUUCUCCUACUUUUUAGUAGACACUAAGAUUGCAUUUUUCUUUAUAUUCUUUGUUGAUUACUGUGGCCUUGACUCUCACCACUCUUUGGAUAACUGGAUCUUGGCCCUAGACUAAAUCUCCAAUUACCCGUUACCCAUCUUCACAUAGAUACAGAAGUCACCAGCACCUUCAGCUCCCAUAUUAAGGUUAUCAUUUUUCCUCCCUCAGUCUCACAAAGCCAGCUCCUCCUCGUUUCCUCUGUAUUUCUGUUCAUGGCCGUCACAGAACACUCUUCUGAGAACUAAGAGAACCAAAGUUUCAGAAAUAUUAUAUACUCCUCUGUACGCCUUGCUCCCACCCAGUUAUGAAGUCUCUAAAUACCACUGAUGCAUAUUUCUUAUAUGUACUUCCCUUUUGUCUGAUUGCACCACUGCCUUCCUAAUUUAGACUGUCAUUUCUACUGCCCAAAUGAUUAUAGUAGUAUUUCCACAGUUCAGCUUGAGUUUUGUCUCUAUCAUGUCUCUACCUGCCAAGGUAAGUAAAAACUUUUCGCCUCAGCCAUCAAGGCUUUUCUCAGUAUGGCACCAACCUAACUUUCCAUCUCCCUUAAGUAAGACAGCACAAUAAAGUAGAAAGGGCAGGAAUGUGACAUCAGAAAGACACUUAUUCAAAUCUUGGCUCUAUCACUUACUUGCCUUAUGACCCCUCAAGAACCUCAAUCUUCUUGUCUAUAUCAAGGCUAAUGAUAUCUACCCUGUAGGGUUGUCUUAAAGAUUAGAAAUAAUACCUGUCAAGAGCUUGACGUUAAAAGACAGAAAUAAACGGUAGCUAAUGUCACGAAAUGGGAAGUGAUACACUGACUGAGAAUGUUACAUUCAAGCCACACUGGAUCGGAGAAACAACCUGUUCAUUCCUACCUCUAGGCCUUUGUUUCCUAACCUGGAACACAUAUUACCCCAGCUCGCAAUUUCUGCCACAUUCUCUAAGUGCCAACUGAGAAGCUAACUACUACAGAAAAAAAUCCUUGAUUGCUCAUACUUUCCAGGUGCUCUUCCACCCCUGAACUGUGUGAUGCUGUGUCUCCUGCAUAGAGCGGUAUCUACUAUCAGUAUUUCUGCAUGUAUCUUAUACAUCAUGAUCAUGUUAGAUUCUAAGGACCUUUGUCUCCUUCAUAGUGGAUUAAAAGCAUGAAUUCUGCACAUAGUGAAUGACAUCAUUACAUCGCCAAAGCUAUAUCUAUUUCUUAAUUCGUUGUCUAGAGAUCAAUAUCAAAUUUUGCAUUCCCAGGAAAGAAAACAUAGCUAUUCACCUAGAAUUUAAAUUCUGGGUUUAAACCUUGGCUGAGGCCGGGUGCGGUGGCUCACCCCUAUAAUCCCAGCACUUUGGGAGGCCAGGGUGGGUGGAUCAGUUGAAGGCAGGAGUUCGACACCAGACUGGCCAACAUAAUGAAACCCCAUCUCUACCAAAAAUACGAAAAAUUAGCCGGGCAUGGUGGUGAACGCCUGUAGUCCCAGCUACUUGGCAGGCUGAGGCAUGAGAAUCAGUUGAACCCAGGAGGCAGAGGAUACAGCGAGCCAAGAUUGCACCACUGCAUUCUGGCCUGGGUGAUGGAGUGAGACUCUGUCUCAAAUAAAUAAAUAAAUAAAGCCUGGCUGAGCUACUUACUAGCCAUAUAACUUUGGUCAGGGUACUUAACCUCUUCGUGACUCAGUUUCCACUUCUGUAUAGUGGAGAUUGCAAUGGUACCUACCUCACUGGGUUGUGUAAGAAAAGAAAUAACACAUGUAGAGGAAUAUAAAAUGUGUUCAGAAUAUACAAAUAUAUAGAGACAGAAGGUAGAUAAGUGAUUGCCUGGGGCAGAGAAGUGGAAUAGACAUAGGGGAGGGGAGGAGAAAUGGGAAAUGACUACUAGUGGUUAUGGAGUUUCCUUUUAUUUUGAGAGGGAGUCUCGCUCUGUCGCCCAGGCUGGAGUGCAAUGGCAUGAUCUCAGCUCACUGCAACUUCUGCCCCCCAGGUUCAAGCGAUUCUUCCGCUUCAGCUUCCUGAGUAGCUGGGAUUACAUGCUAUCCGCCAUCAUGCCCUACGAAUUUUUGUAUUUUUGUAGAGACGAGGUUUCACCAUGUUGUCCAGGCUGGUCUUGAAUUCCUGACCUCAGGUAAUCUGCCCACCUCAGCCUCCCAAAGUGCUGGGAUUACAGGCAUGAGCCACUGUGCCUGGCCUUUUUCUUUUCUUCUUACAGAGUUUCGCUCUUGUUGCCCAGGCUGGAGUGCAAUGGUGCGAUCUCGGCUCACUGCAACCUCUGCCUCCUGGGUUCAAGUUAUUCUCCUGCCUCAGCCUCCCAUGUAGCUGGGAUUACAGGCAUGCGCCACCACACCCAGC
rnacentral:lncRNA from 1 species